GAUGAACGCUGGCGGCGUGCCUAAUACAUGCAAGUAGAACGCUGAAGGAAGGAGCUUGCUCUUUCCGGAUGAGUUGCGAACGGGUGAGUAACGCGUAGGUAACCUGCCUGGUAGCGGGGGAUAACUAUUGGAAACGAUAGCUAAUACCGCAUAACAGUAGAUGUUGCAUGAUAUCUACUUAAAAGGUGCAAUUGCACCACUACCAGAUGGACCUGCGUUGUAUUAGCUAGUUGGUGAGGUAACGGCUCACCAAGGCGACGAUACAUAGCCGACCUGAGAGGGUGGUCGGCCACACUGGGACUGAGACCCGGCCCAGACUCCUUCGGGAGGCAGCAGUAGGGCAUCUUCGGCAAUGGACGGAAGUCUGACCGCGCAACGCCGCGUGAGUGAAGAAGGUUUUCGGAUCGUAAAGCUCUGUUGUAAGAGAAGAACGAGUGUGAGAGUGGAAAGUUCACACUGUGACGGUAUCUUACCAGAAAGGGACGGCUAACUACGUG
rnacentral:rRNA from 1 species